rnacentral:rRNA from 1 species
AGGGUUUGAUCCUGGCUCAGGAUGAACGCUAGCGGCAAGCUUAACACAUGCAAGUCGAACGGUAACUCUUGGUGCUUGCACCAAAAGACGAGUGGCGGACGGGUGCGUAACGCGUAUGCAAUCUACCUUUUACUAGGGUAUAGCCCAGAGAAAUUUGGAUUAAUCCCCUAUAAUAUCAUGAAAUCGCAUGGUUUUAUGAUUAAAGCUUCGGUGGUAAGAGAUGAGCAUGCGUCCUAUUAGUUUGUAGGUGAGGUAACGGCUCACCUAGACUACGAUAGGUAGGGGCCCUGAGAGGGGGAUCCCCCACACUGGUACUGAGACACGGACCAGACUCCUACGGGAGGCAGCAGUGAGGAAUAUUGGACAAUGGACGAAAGUCUGAUCCAGCUAUGCCGCGUGCAGGAUGACAGCCCUACGGGUUGUAAACUGCUUUUAUACAGGAAGAAAAACCCCGACGUGUCGGGGCUUGACGGUACUGUAAGAAUAAGGAUCGGCUAACUCCGUGCCAGCAGCCGCGGUAAUACGGAGGAUCCAAGCGUUAUCCGGAAUUAUUGGGUUUAAAGGGUCCGCAGGCGGUUUUUUAAGUCAGAGGUGAAAUCCUACAGCUCAACUGUAGAAUUGCCUUUGAAACUGAAAGACUUGAGUUAUUGUGAAGUGGUUAGAAUGUGUGGUGUAGCGGUGAAAUGCAUAGAUAUCACACAGAAUACCAAUUGCGAAAGGCAGAUCACUAACAAUUAACUGACGCUCAGGACGAAAGCGUGGGUAGCGAACAGGAUUAGAUACCCUGGUAGUCCACGCCGUAAACGAUGGAUACUAGCUGUAUGUCUACUCAGGUAGAUGUGGUGGCCAAGCGAAGUGAUAGUAUCCCACCUGGGGGAGUACGAUCGCAAGAUUGAAACUCAAAGGAAUUGACGGGGACCGCACAGCGUGAGCAUGUGGUUUAAUCGAUGAACGCGAGGACUACAGGGCUAAUGUAACGGAAGUCUAGAGAUGAACCUUCUCGACCAUACAAGUGCUGCAUGUGCGUCAGCCCGGCCGGAGGGUUCAGGUUAGUCUAUAACGAGGCAACCCAAUCUGUUAGUGACAAGAUGUGACGCACCUUACGAACUUCGCGGUCCAACCUUGAGA